AUGGACUACAAGCUGCUCUGCUAUGUGGCCUUCUGUCUCCUGGGAACAGUCCUCAUGGACACCGGAAUUACUCAGAUGCCAAGACACCUGGUCAUGGGGAUGAGAAAUAAGAAGUCUUUGAAAUGCAAACAACAUCUGGGGCAUAAUUCUAUGUACUGGUAUAAACAGAGUGCUCAGAAGCCACCAGAGCUCAUGUUUGUCUACAACUAUCAGGAACUCGUUGAAAAUAACACUGUCCCGAGUCGCUUCUCACCCGAAUGCCUAGACAGCUCUCAGUUAUACCUUCACGUGGAUGCCCUGGAGCCAGAAGACUCCGCCGUGUACCUCUGUGCCAGCAGCAAAGACACAGCCUUGCAGAAGCACCUUCUGCCUGUGCAGAAACCGCCUGGGUCCAGUCAGGAAACUGGGGGGUAA